ensembl:miRNA MIR489 microRNA 489
GUGGCAGCUUGGUAGCCGUAUGUGUGGCGCCAUUUACUUGAAUCUUUAGAAGUGACAUCACAUGUACGGCAGCUAAUCUGCUAC